rnacentral:sRNA from 1 species
CUUGUUAUGGAGUUCUGUGGGGCUGGGUCCAUUACAGACCUUGUGAAGAACACCAAAGGGAACACACUCAAAGAAGACUGGAUCGCUUACAUCUCCAGAGAAAUCCUGAGGGGACUGGCACAUCUUCACAUUCAUCAUGUGAUUCACCGGGAUAUCAAGGGCCAGAAUGUGUUGCUGACUGAGAAUGCAGAGGUGAAACUUGGUAUGUAAUGGAUGUGCGGCAUGAUCUCAUAAUUGCACCUGGCACAAGCCAGCUGCACUCCCAGUUCUGCUUCCAUCUAGCUAAAAGUUCAGUCUUAUCCAUGUUUUCUAUUUCUGUUCUUCUUAAGAAUGUGGGAACUGAGCAUAUUACUUAGCUUGGC